rnacentral:rRNA from 1 species
GACAGAGGGUGCAAACGUUGUUCGGAAUUACUGGGCGCAAAGCGCGUGUAGGCGGCUAAGUAAGUCGGGCGUGAAAUCCCACGGCUCAACCGUGGAAGUGCACUCGAAACUGCAUAGCUAGAGUCCUGGAGAGGAAGGUGGAAUUCCUGGUGUAGCGGUGAAAUGCGCAGAUAUCAGGAGGAACACCGGUGGCGAAGGCGGGUCUCUGGGCCGAUACUGACGCUGAGGAGCGAAAGCAUGGGUAGCGAACAGG